UUCACUAAUAUUAGAGUGGAAAGAGCGUGACGCAAAGUAAAAACAGUCUUAUCUCGUGGAAUUUGAAAUUCCCAAAAGUCAAAACCCUAAAAUUUCCUCAAAAUCUCAUCCUCACAAUUUCGUUUCAAUGCGAACCGUAACUGUAAAACCCUAAUUCCCCCUCCUCUCACAAUCUGAGCGGAAUCAUUAUGGCACCCGGUCUCAGAACGACAUCCGGCACCCCUCCCUCUUCUCGCAAGCGCCACCUCUCCGAUUGCGCUAAGCCCACAACUCCGCCGCCGUUGGAUCUCUCUUCCCCCAAAAAGACCCGGGACCUCCCCAACUUGACAGAAUGCCAAGCCUGCGGAUCCCGAACCGACACCGCCAACGGCAAGAACCGAAUUCAAACGCUUUACAGCGAGUGGCGCAUUGUUCUCCUCUGCUCUAGAUGUUAUCAUCGCGUUGACUCAUCCGAAAUCUGCUCUUAUUGUUUUAAAGAAGCCUCCGAAGAUUACUUUUCUUGUGGCCAAUGUAAGCGUUCCCUUCACAAAACUUGUUUUUUAAAUUGCAAAUCUGUUCCGCCGUGGUCCUUCUCUAUUUGCGGUUCGGAAUUUACGGUUUGCAUCGAUUGUUGGGUCCCCAAACAGAUUGCUCGUAAAAGGGGUAAUUUCAGGCGCAAUAAGAAAGCCAAGAAUUCUAGCAUUUUGGAUAAUAGAGACGGUGGGGGGGCUAAGUUGUUGGAAUCUGUAGUGAAAGAUGCGAAUUAUGCGAUGGGGAAGAAGGUUGAGGCGGCAGUUAAGGCUAGGGAAAUGGCGGUUAAGAAAGCCAUUGUGGCCAAGCGGGCUGUGGAAUUGGCGAGUAAUGCAUUGGAAGAGUGUGAUGAUGCUGAAUUGGCGUUUCGGUUGCAUAGGGCAAUGAAUAGUUCGCCUAGGAUUUCAAAGAAUAGAAUAUUGGGUGAUCAAAAUGGUUUGGAGUUUUUGAUUGCUGGUAAUAGGGUUUUCAGUGGCUUGAAACCAACUGAGAUAGUUUAUGCUCGGCGUAGUCAGAAACCAACCCAGAUAGUUUAUGCUUGGUGUGGAAAUGAACCAACUGAGAUGGUUUAUGUACGGCGCAGAAAGAAACCAACUAAGUUAGUUUAUAAACGGCGUAGAAAGCACAGCGAAUGCAAGGAAGAUUGUGGUGUUGAAAUAAGAAUGAAGGAGAGAGAGGAGAGUUGUUCUAGUUUGUUGUUGAACUCAAGUGGGUUUCAUAGUAGCAUGAAAUCUGAGUCUAAACCUUGUAAUUACCAAGAUGACUGUACUGUCUUUAAGGAUACACGGUCUGAUGUGAAACUUGUUCAUUAUUUGUUAACCUACAGUAGGAAGAAAUCAAACUCGAAGGAAACUCCAAAUGGCAAAAUUAAGUUCCUGUGUGAGGAAUAUAACCUUGAAAGUCAGGCUACAGGUCCUCGACUGCCAGAAUCUCUAAUGAUCUCAACUUCAACACUCCAACAUUGUGAUAUUCCUCAUCAAGCUGCAGCUGGUGCAAGUGACUCGUAGCCUGAAGAAGCAUUCUUUUCCUUGGAUUGGUUGUGGAUAAUUUGUCUGGGAUGCUUUGAAGAUGCUCUUCAGAGUAGCUGGUGUAUAUAAUUGCAAGCCAGUUGAGGAAAAAGUGCUGCUGAAGAUAGUCUUAUAACUUUUGGAGGUUUCUGGUUGCAACUUAAAAAGUCUCGUGGUCAUGGGAAUAUCCACAUAUUGGAUGGUAGUUCCACUGAUGAUGAUCCUUGGAUUAUUGACAAGCUAAAUUGAAGCAAUACCUUACAUGGUGAUAGCCAUUUGUAGAUGAUUUACUCAUUGCAACAAAGCACUUGAUUAUAAACUAUAAUGGACUAUUGCCCCCUGAAGACUAAUGGAAUUGCUGCAAAAUGUAUUGGUCACCAGUGCUCAGUAAGGGGCUAUUUUGUUGCAUUGAAUGUGAUCUUGGUGAACAAGCACAAAGCAUAAGGUUCAGUGUUGAAAGUGGUGACAUCAUGCAAAAUUGCUAAAUGGAAGGACUUAAGCUAGAUCAUUUCUUGAGAAUCUUGGUUAGGCAAGUUCCCUUUUUGGUUCAUCUUGACUCAUUUAACAGUUUUUGGUUAAAUUUUAAUGUUAGACAACUCUUCACUUUUAAUCAAUGAAGCCUUUUGGAAAUUUUACUAAAGAAUGUUUUAAUAUUGAGUGCAUCACGUUUAUGUCUUAAGAUUUGUUCUAUUGCCUGUAACAAUAAUCAACAUUUUGUUCUAAUGCGAAAUUUGUUUUCAACAUUUUCGAUUUUCCAAAUUUUAUCUGUUUCAUUAACUUUUGUAAAAUGCUUGCCUGAGAUAAACAUGUUAGCAUUCAGUGGAUGUGGUUCGGACACAAUCAAAUAGAAAGCAAUAAUUUUUCCUUUUUACUUAAUAGCGGAGUAUGCUGUCUUAGAAUUAAUGGAAAGCCCCUUGUUUUGCCAAUACUUCUAUUUGAGAGUAUGAUUCAUUGAAUUUUUUUUUUUUCACAUAACAUGUAUCAACAAAUGUCGCAUUCCAAGAUGCACGAGAUUGGGCAUCCAGCUGCACUAAAUUGAAGGUCUAGUUGCCUAAAUAUGCAUGCGAUAUUGCGAUUAUCCAGCUGCAAUAACAUGUGUUUACAUUUUUGUGCAGUUAUAUUUUGGCAGAGGGAUUAAAUUCUACAUUUUGAGGAUUAAAUUUAAAAUAUUACUGGAUAAGAGGAGUGCUAGGCAGAACUUAUAAGUGACGGGAGAUGGAGCCUUGGGUGAAUCAUUGCACUCAACCCCCACCUCCCAUGUUGAUUUGGUGUCGCCUACGAUGUCUUCCAAUAAAAAUAAAAAAAAGAAGAAUCAACCUACUUUCCCCACUUGAGAUUUUUUUACUUUCAAAAAGUAGAGAGUUGAAAGUGGGGGAAGGUAUAUUAACAAUGGUGGGCUUUAAACCAUCCCAGAAGACGUAGAAAAAGGGAUAGAAUGUGGGGUGGAAACGUGUAAAAUUUGGUUGUAAAGGUGAAGGAAGUUGAGCCUUGGUUCAUUAUUUUAGCUAAAAGAAGGAUAUGUCGUGUAGACUGCACACCAUCACGAUUGGGGCCGAUAUCGGCAUCUUUCGUGUGGGUGGCGCACUUCCCUAAAACCUACUGUUUUAUUCAUUAUUAAGUAAUAUCUAAUAAUCAAAUGGAUGGUCUCCAAGUCAGCAAA